rnacentral:rRNA from 1 species
CAGCAGUGGGGGAAUCUGCGCAAUGGGCGAAAGCCUGACGCAGCAACGCCGCGUGGGGGAUGAAGGCCUUCGGGUAGUAAACCCCUUUCAGCAGGGACGAAGCGAGAGUGACGGUACCUGCAGAGAAGCACCGGCCCAACUACGUGCCAGCAGCCGCGGUAAUACGUAGGGUGCAAGCGUGUCCGGAAUUAUUGGGCGUAAAGAGCUCGUAGGCGGUCUGUCGCGUCGGCUGUGAAAACUCGGGGCUCAACCCCGAGCGUGCAGUCGAUACGGGCAGACUAGAGUGCUGUAGGGGAGACUGGAAUUCCUGGUGUAGCGGUGAUAUGCGCAGAUAUCAGGAGGAACACCGGUGGCGAAGGCGGGUCUCUGGGCAGUAACUGACGCUGAGGAGCGAAAGCGUGGGGAGCGAACAGGAUUAGAUACCCUGGUAGUCCACGCCGUAAACGGUGGGUGCUAGGUGUGAGCGGUAUUCCACGCCGUUCGUGCCGCAGCUAACGCAUUAAGCACCCCGCCUGGGGAGUACGGCCGCAAGGCUAAAACUCAAAGGAAUUGACGGGGGCCCGCACAAGCAGCGGAGCAUGUGGCUUAAUUCGACGCAACGCGAAGAACCUUACCAAGGCUUGACAUGCAGGGAAAUCCUCCAGAGAUGGGGGGUCCGCAAGGGUCCUGCACAGGUGGUGCAUGGUUGUCGUCAGCUCGUGUCGUGAGAUGUUGGGUUAAGUCCCGCAACGAGCGCAACCCUCGUUCUAUGUUGCCAGCGCGUGAUGGCGGGGACUCAUAGGAGACUGCCGGGGUCAACUCGGAGGAAGGUGGGGAUGACGUCAAAUCAUCAUGCCCCUUAUGUCUUGGGCUGCACACAUGCUACAAUGGCCGGUACAAAGGGCUGCUAAGCCGUGAGGUGGAGCGAAUUCCAAAAAGCCGGUCUCAGUUCGGAUUGGGGUCUGCAACUCGACCCCAUGAAGUCGGAGUUGCUAGUAAUCGCAGAUCAGCAACGCCGCGGUGAAUACGUUCCCGGG